UACGGAGGGCGCGAGCGUUACUCGGAAUUACUGGGCGUAAAGCGCGCGUAGGCUGUUGUGUAAGUUGGGGGUGAAAUCCCACGGCUCAACCGUGGAACAGCCCUUGAUACUGCGCGACUUGAAUCCGGGAGAGGGUGGCGGAAUUCCAGGUGUAGGAGUGAAAUCCGUAGAUAUCUGGAGGAACAUCAGUGGCGAAGGCGGCCACCUGGACCGGUAUUGACGCUGAGGCACGAAAGCGUGGGGAGCAAACAGG
rnacentral:rRNA from 1 species